AUUGCCGCAUCCAUUGUGACAC
rnacentral:siRNA from 1 species